UUUGAUUAGAAAGGCUUUUUGUUAAGUGUGUAAUUACUUAUGAAAGCAGUUUUUUUUUUCUUCAGCUUUUGAUGAUGGAAUUAUAAGUACUUGAUUAGAAAGGCUUUUUGCCUACUUCAUAUCUCUCUCCUUACUCUUUCUUUUUCCUUCCCUGUAUGCCACUGCUUCAUUCUUCUGCUGCUGCAGCACUUUAGGUACUGUUCUCAGGUUCAAAACAACCAGCAGUUUUUCCUGUCUUCAAUAUAUCUAAUUCAAACUCUUAACCAUGUUUCCCUUCACACUUAAAUUAGAACCCCAAAACUUAUAAAUUGUUUGAGAUUUGUCAAACAUAAAGCUUCCUUAACCUGUCCUACAUCACUGACUCUCCUUAAAGCCUGUAAUGCAGGAAGCCUCACACGAUAAGACUCUCUUUUUAAAGUUCAAAAUUUUGACUAUUUGAGAGUUUUCUCUCUUGGAUUUGAAAAGUGGACAUAAUUCUUUCACGGAUGUUUCGUUUAUAUCAACAAAAUUUGGUUAUUCUUGACACACUUUGGUGAAUCAUUUCAUUUCCUGAAAUUUCAAUAUCAAUAUCACAUUAAUAAAAUUUCAUAUUUUUAACAUACUUUGAUUUUCAUUUGAAAUAAAGAUCAACACUUGCUUCUGUGCCCUUAUUUGGUUAUCUCAAGUAGUUCUCAUAAUUGAUGUGUAAAACUUUGCGGUAAAAAGGGUUUCACCAUAUGAACUGGAUGCCAUCUUUGUUCUGUAACUAGGCCUAGCCUCUGUUAAGUCUAUUUAUUUCGAUCUAGGUAAAUUCUGUUCUUAUUAUAUAUAUUGUGUCAACUCAUUGCGAAACUUGUAUUAAGGUUCGUUUUGUUGUUGGUGGAGAUGGACCUAAAUGUGUGCGGCUGGAGGAGAUGAGGGAGAAGCAUUCUCUUCAAGAUCGAGUCGAAAUGCUGGCGCUGUGCCCCAUGCUUGUGUACGUUUUGUCCUGAUUUCUGGCCAUAUAUUCUUGAACAGGUUCUACCAGAUGACAUGAUUGUACUU
rnacentral:misc_RNA from 1 species